rnacentral:rRNA from 1 species
GGACCCGCACAAGCGGUGGAGCAUGUGGUUUAAUUCGACGCUACGCGAAGAACCUUACCAGGACUUGACAUCUCGGGAAUCCUCCUUAAUCGGAGGAGUGCCGCAAGGAACCCGAUGACAGGUGCUGCAUGGUUGUCGUCAGCUCGUGUCGUGAGAUGUAAGGUUAAGUCCUCCAACGAGCGCAACCCUUAUUGUCUGUUUUACAUGUCAGACAAAACUGCUCGGGUAACCGAGAGGAAGGUGGGGAUGACGUCAAAUCAGCAUGGCCCUUACGUCCUGGGCCACACACGUGCUACAAUGGGGAUGACAACGGGUAUUGCCAAACCGCAAGGUGGAGCUAAUCCUAAUAAACAUCCUCUCAGUUCAGAUUGAAGGCUGCAACUCGCCUUCAUGAAGUUGGAAUCGCUAGUAACUGCUGGUCAGCGAUACAGCGGUGAAUACGUUCUCGGGUCUU